AGUCACUGACAUUAGAUACCCCUGUAGUCCUAACUGUAAACGCUGCAGACUUGGUGUUGGGAACCCUUCGGGGGUGCUCAGUGCCGGAGAGAAGUUGUUAAGUCUGCUACUUGGGGAGUACGUCCGCAAGGAUGAAACUUAAAGGAAUUGGCGGGGGAGCACCGCAACGGGAGGAGCGUGCGGUUUAAUUGGAUUCAACGCCGAAAAACUCACCAGCAGCGACUGUUACAUGAAAGUCAGGUUGAUGACCUUACUAGAUUUUCAG
rnacentral:rRNA from 1 species